GACUUAGGGUUUUAUCUGACAGAAUUCCACGAGUUUUGGUGUUUGUCUAUUUCUGCAGGGGGUUAUCAGGAAAUAAGGAAGAAAGGCCUAUAUGUCGGGAUUACAUAGAGAUAUCAACCCACCGCGCAAUUUUCUACCAUCUAGAAGACUCCAGAAGCCACGGGAAGGAAGCGGAGCCCGAAAGGGGCCAGGCCCAGGGCGCCCGCCCUGAGGACCUGGGCGCCCGACAUGAACCAAGGAAGAGGACCAACAGGAGGAACAGGAACAAGCAAAUGUGGACCGAGUCAGCUAAGAUGGUCACUGCAGCUCAAGGAGCUCAAGAUCGUCGACUCAAGUCACCUUUCUUGAUCAAGAAGGACGACCCUGGUGUUCCAAGAAUCGAAUGCACAAACAAUGGAUACUCUUUUCAGAAGGCACUCUACGACACCGGAUCUGACGACAACAUAAUGGCCGCAGUCACUUAUCAGCUCCUGCAUGGAACCAUGCCCCUACAACCAAGAUACAUUCAGCUUCAAACAAUUUUCAGGUCAUUGACAUGGGAGAAGACAAGUAUGAUCCAUCCACCAUUCAUGGAAGACUGUUCCUAAACACUAUCAAAGCCAUUAUCUAUAUUGGAACCGAAGAAGUCCACAUGCACUUCCCCUCUGAGAAAGGUACGCCACUACUUUAAUGAUUAUAUAGUUGAAGAUUCUAAGCAGGUCAGGACAAGAAGAAGACAACGCAACCGCAACCAGAGGAGGCAAAUCAUCAAGGACGGAUGGGUAGACUACGAAGGAGAAGUGAUAAGGACUGAAGACAUACAACUUGAACAGAACUGUCCUGAGGAGACCGUAACACCGAGUCAGGUAUGGAAAAUGAAGAUAACUAUAAAUGAAGAGGACGCGCUGCCGGAAGUACCGACUACGCCACCCAACGAACCUCAGGACGACUAAGAAAACGGAGAGUCCCGUUCGGAGGACUUAAAAAACACCGAACGCCUUGCCAAGAGGUAAACUUGGUAGUUAUCCUUUUCCUUUCAAUUAUUCAAUUAUAGUUUGCUUAGUUAAUCAUGUUCGUAUUAUCCUAGAAAGAAAAUAAAAAUGUGAAAAAACUGUAAGCCCCAUGUGAGUAGACGAGUGGCAUAAAACCCAUAAGUACAUUCACUGUGGUGGCAUAAAAAUAAAAUAAAUAUUUUUCUACUUUAUAAAAUGAAAAUAUAAAAAAAACAGGGAGUAAUAAUUAUUAUUAAGGAGUCUCAAGAUGAUAAAGGCUAGAUAUUUAUGCUAACACUUAAUCAGUUCCACAAGCUUUGUUGUCUAUUUGAGCUCCACAGAAUUUAAGAAUCAAGAAGACUAGCAGACGGAGGACAUUCUAAUCGCUGUCAAAAUACUGCUGACUUUCAAACACACCUCUGCCACCUGCUAGCUACAUCAAGAGAAAUUACGUCAAAAUUCAGCUUAGGGGAGAGCACCCCCAUUUAUCUCGAUAAGUAUUUCUAUCUAUCUUUAUACUAUAUUAGAAUAUAAAUACACAUAACUAUGAAAAACCAAAUAAAGAUUUUAUGCUUAUAUAUCUUUUGCUUAGUGUGUUUAAUAAAGUGGCUAUGCUAAUCUGAAUCUUAAUAAUAAAACUUAAGCAUGGAUAUGAUGAAUAGUUGCUCUGCCUAAUUUGCAAAUUUGAAGUUCUCUCUCAAGUUUAGAUAUAACUGUUAUAAUUUAAGGCUUGCUCUAAACCUAAACUUGUGGGAUGAAAACUUGAUCUGAAGUCUAAGUUGUUAUCGGAUACGAUAUGGGAAGGUUGAGCUGCUGUUUAUCUGUUCCUAGAGAUGCUAGAAUUCUGGAGAAUUUUAUCUUUGAAAAUCUUUAAAAUAUUGCAUGAUGAGUUCCUGUAUGAUGAGAGUUUAAAUUCCUACCACAGCCAUAUAUACAUGCUUGCUAGACCUUGAGCCACACAUUUACUAUUUACUGCUUAUGAGCAUUGAGUGUGGUCAAGCUGUGUAGACCCUUAGGAGCUUGUCAUGUGGUUAAAUCAAGAUUCACUUGCACGUUCACUCAUAUAUGCUACUUCUACUCCGGAAGUACCAUCCACAUAUAUCCACUCAUUUCCAUCUCCAGUUUUACCCAAAAUUAUUCUACUCCUAAUCCGGGAGAGAAUAGCCAAAAAACAUUUUUCUAUCCCUGUUAUUCCCUGUGAAAUAAAUGCUCCAGUUAUUUUGGUUACUAGCACUUGCUACAUUAUUUCAGGAGAUGAGUGCUCUAGAAAGAAAAAAAAAGAAAAAAAAAGAAGAAGAAAAAAAUAAAUAAUAUACGAGGAAAUAAAAAGGGGCAAGUGCCCGGAACCUCGAAGAAAAGAAAAAGAAGAGCAUCUCAUUCUCCUCAUAAAGUUUCAAAAGCAAGGAAGGUAUGUAUCCCCUCAAAGAGCAAAAGUAGAAUUAGACUUCCACCACCAUUGUUUUCACCAUUGUUAUCACCAUCAUCACCAUACACCAUUCAUUCACCACACAUGCACAUCUUGAUUUGGCUUAUUGAUUUGUUUCUUUGGAUCCAUGGUUUGACUAUGCAAUAAAUGUCUUGUAAGUAUGUAUAUUUUAUCUCCCACCUAUGAGCUCUAGAUAUUAAAGCCUUAUUAGAGUAGGGUGAGAGAGAAGGCAAUGUCACUAUGCCUUAUACCACAAAUACUACAUAUCUUGAGAGAAGGCAUAUACCAUCACUGCCUUGGUAAGGAUCCAAAAAUACCACAAAAGAGAGACUAGAGAGAAUUAUACAAGGAAUCUCUGAGUUUUAUUUGAAAAUCUGCAAAAACUCCAGAGCUAUAGUUGAUCAAAGAACAAGAUACAUGGUGCUUGACUUGACCGUUCUAUCUUUGAACUGCUCAAGACACAAGUGACGUUACAAGCCCCAUGGUGAAAGGUAAAAUGAGUAAGUUUUAAGUCUUAACAGUUUAUUCUAACUCAGAGAUGAGAUCUUGCUUAAAUGCGUGUGUACUUCUAAGAAAUGAAACCACUACAGAAACUCUUGAGUUCAUCCUUGCUCAGGGACGAGCAAGAGGUAAGCUUGGGGGAGUUUGUUGACGGUCCUUAAGUAUCAAAUUUAAUUAUCAAAUAAACAAAGAAAAGGAUCCAAAUGAAAUCAACAUCUAGACUUAGGGUUUUAUCUGACAGAUUUCCACGAGUUUUGGUGUUUGUCUAUUUCUGCAGGGGGUUAUCAGGAAAUAAGGAAGAAAGGCCUACAUGUCGGGAUUACAUAGAGAUAUCAACCCACCGCGCAAUUUUCUACCAUCUAGAAGACUCCAGAAGCCACGGGAAGGAAGCAGAGCCCAAAAGGGGCCAGGCCCAGGGCGCCCGCCCUGAGGACCUGGGCCCCCGCCCCCCUCUGGACUCCGUUCCGGACUCUCUUCGCACACGACGUUCCACCGACCUAUUGGAUCCACAAUAACAUAGUACCACCUCGCCUAUCGACCCAAAAACGCAUAGAAGGGGAGGACUAUAUAAGGAGACCCCCUCUGGCCCCUGGAGGAGACAAGAAAUUAUCAUAGAGAUUGAGGGGUGCCCUCGAAGGAAAACCUCUUCUCUAAAUAAUAUUUCUUUUUAGGCUUAGCAACCAAUGUAAAGUAGAAAUAGAUCUUCUAGUUUCUACUAGAUUGAGAGAGAUAGAGUGGAGGUGUGGAUCGGAGGAAGGCCGGCCUGUCGGUGUCUACUCCGAGUUGUACCUGC
rnacentral:lncRNA from 1 species